GACGAACGCUGGCGGCGUGCCUAACACAUGCAAGUCGAACGGAGAAUUAGCAAUAAUUCUUAGUGGCGAACGGGUGAGUAACGCGUAGACAACCUACCCUUUAGAUGGGGACAACACCGCGAAAGUGGUGCUAAUACCGAAUAUUGCUUGAGAAGCGCAUGCUUCUCAAACUAAAGAUGGCCUCUAUUUAUAAGCUAUCGCUAAAGAAUGGGUCUGCGUCUGAUUAGCUAGUUGGUGAGAUAAAAGCUCACCAAGGCAACGAUCAGUAGCCGGUCUGAGAGGAUGAACGGCCACACUGGGACUGAGACACGGCCCAGACUCCUACGGGAGGCAGCAGUGGGGAAUCUUCCGCAAUGGACGAAAGUCUGACGGAGCAACGCCGCGUGAGUGAUGAAGGUUUUCGGAUCGUAAAACUCUGUUGUUAAGGACGAAUGUAUAGAUUGUGAAUAAUGGUUUAUAAUGACGGUACUUAACGAGGAAGCCACGGCUAACUACGUGCCAGCAGCCGCGGUAA
rnacentral:rRNA from 1 species